rnacentral:rRNA from 1 species
AACGAACGCUGGCGGCGUGCUUAACACAUGCAAGUCGAGUGCGCGUGCCGUAGCAAUACGGUAUGGCGCACGGCGCACGGGUGCGUAACACGUGGGUAAUCUGCCCUCCGAUGGGGAAUAACCCCCGCGAAAGCGGGGCUAAUUCCGCAUAACAUUCCGAGAACUCCGGUUUUGGACUCAAAGGCGUAAGUCGUCGGAGGUGGAGCCCGCGCACGAUUAGCUAGUUGGUAGGGUAAUGGCCUACCAAGGCUUUGAUCGUUAGCUGGUCUG